UGGGGAAUAUUGGACAAUGGGGGCAACCCUGAUCCAGCAAUGCCGCGUGUGUGAAGAAGGCCUUCGGGUUGUAAAGCACUUUAGUUGGGGAAGAAGUUUUGUUGUUUAAGAGAUGACAAGGUUGACGGUACCCAAAGAAUAAGCACCGGCUAACUCUGUGCCAGCAGCCGCGGUAAUACAGAGGGUGCAAGCGUUAAUCGGAGUUACUGGGCGUAAAGGGCGCGUAGGCGGUAGAUUAAGUUUGAUGUGAAAUCCCUGGGCUUAACCUAGGAAUUGCAUUGAAUACUGGUUUACUGGAGUACUGUAGAGGGUAGUGGAAUUUCCGGUGUAGCGGUGAAAUGCGUAGAGAUCGGAAGGAACACCAGUGGCGAAGGCGGCUACCUGGACAGAUACUGACGCUGAGGCGCGAGAGCGUGGGGAGCAAACAG
rnacentral:rRNA from 1 species